rnacentral:lncRNA from 1 species
CUUGCCACUGAAAAGCGACGAGACUUGUUCGACAAGCUGUUCUCGUUGAGGACGAGAAGAUAAGUCGCAGACGCUUCCAGUAACGUUGAAGCCCUUUGCCGACCAUUCCUGUAACCGUUGAUUAAGUUCAGCUUCCUUGCGAGAACAGGUGUGCACCACCGCCCCUAACUCCGCCAGUUCCCCGACCACCACGUAGCCGAUUCCACGUGUACCACCGGUGACGAGAGCAGUUAUUCCGGCUAGAGACCAUCUGGAAUUUCGAGUUGCACCAAUACCAUUAAAACUUAGAGUAAAUUACACAAAUGGUCCCUAUGGUUUAGGGUAAUUUGCAUGUUUGGUCCCUAACUUAUUUUUUUAACUCGGAUAGUCCCUAUUGUUUGUUUUUGUUACACAUUUGGUCCCUGUCUUAUCUAAAAAGACUAUUUUGCCAUUGAUUUUUUAAUUUAUUUAAAUAAACACACCCCAACCCCCACCCCCUCACCUUACCUUACCUACCCCACAACUUUUUCCUAUUUAAAUAAUAGUUUUUUUUAUGUAAGAUAGGGACCAAGCACGUAACAAAAACAAACAGUAGAGACCAAACAUGUAACAAAAACAAACAGUAGGGACCAAACACGUAACAAAAACAAAUAGUAGGGACCUUCCGAGUUAAAAAAAUAAGUUAGAGACCAAAGACGCAAAUUACACCAAACCAUAGGGACCAUUCGUGUAAUUUACUCUAAAACUUACCGAUGCCUUCGUCGUCAUUGAUUCUUUACAAAUUACAAUGGCAACUGCUUCUAAGAUUUUGUUCCUUUUAUGGAAUCGAAUUACUUUUUCACCAACUUUCAAGAAUUACAAAGUACAAACACUUCAAAUUUUAUUGUCAUCUUUUGAUUAUUUGGAAUGUUUAAAGACUUAUAAACACUUCAAAUUUUAUUUUCGUCUUUUAAUUAUUUGAAGUGAAUAAACACUAUAAAGAAGUGUAAAUAUUUCAAAAUUUAUUGUUAAAUAAACACUAUAAACACUUCAAAUUUUAUUUCGUUUUUUUUAUUAUUGUCAUUUUAUGUCUUUUGACAUUUUCCAUUUUUACUUUUUCUUUCCCUUUAUAAUAUUUUUUGUUUUUCAUAUAUUUUAAUUUAUUUAUUGUAAAACUAAUUUAUAAAAUUACUAUUUUUAUUUUUUAUUAGAUUAUUAAUAUCUCUAAAUAUUAUUAAAAGAGAACUUUUAAUUCACUAAUGAAACAAUCAAGGCCAUUGAUUGUAUUUCAAUCAUAUGAUUUUCACCAUUAGAUCAAAUUGAUCACAUCAUCUUCUCAAAAUAGAAUUCAAACAUUUAAUUAUAGAAUCUUUAAAUUUACCAAUUACAUUUCAAUCACAAUUAAAUAAAAUUAUGGAAUCUUUAAUUAUAGAAUCUAUUCAUACUUUCGAAAAUAUAUUUCACAAUUCGGGCAUAAUUACAUUUAAUUGUAGAAUCUUUAAAAUCAGCAUUAUGUUAUCAAUUAAAGCAUAUCAUUCUAUUUAUAUAUGAGUAUCGGUUUCUCCAUAAAUCUGGCCAAAAAUAUGAAUAACCGCCUCUAUUUUUCUCUUAAACCAGAAUUCCUAAUCUUCUUCUUCUUCAUGUCAAUGGUUGUACUUCAAUUGAUGUUUUGUGUAUUCAUAACAUAAUGUAACACCAUAAGGUGGUUCCUUUUUCUCAUGUAUUCUUAGAAUUUGCAUAUUGCCUCUUUCUUGCAUCUCCAAUUAUCACACCUCUGUUUUAGCUUCACACAAAUCUCUACAAACUGAAGCAAGCAUCUCCUUCAAGACAUCUUUUGACGAUCUAUGUCAUCAUUAACCCUAAUUAAUAUUGUUCAUAAUUUAAUUCAAUUAUUUAUAGUUUUUGGCUUCAAAAUUUAAACCUGAUUAGUUUUUUCUUUUUAAAAAAACUCAUUAAAUAAGCAUAUCAAUAAUUAUGUUAUCUUUAAUAUAUAUUAAAACAAAAAUCUUAUGAUAUCAUCUGAAACAAUUUGGGUCAUUGAUUGCAUUUCAAUCUUAUGUUUUCCACCAUUAGAUCAAAUUUGUGACAUCAUCUUCCCUAAAUGGAAUGUAUUUAAUUCCAAUAAAAGUUUUCCAAUUGUCAAACAAAAUUAACUUAAAUCCAUUGAAAUAGAAUGUAUUUAAUUUUAAUAAAUUUCCCCCUAUUUUAAAUCUUGAAUUUUCGGUUAUAAAGGUUUUAAAAUAGUCAACUUUAAAAACAUAUUACUGAAAACCAUUUCAAUUAAGACAUUAAAUAUCAACCAUUAAUAUAAAUCCGUUUAUAUUAGCAAACCAUUAAUAUAAAAUACAUUUUUAUUAGGAAACCAUUAAUACCAAAAAAUCAUAUCCAAAUUAUCACAUACAUAUAUGAUUCAUCCUUGAAUUUGUGGCUCACACUUAUUUUCGAUCGUUGCUUUUCUUCAGACCUUCUCCUACAACAUCAUUCUUAUUGUUUAUCACUUCCAUCAUCAUUAUCUGCUUCAAUCCUUCAUUGUUGUGCACUAGAAGGUCAGUACCUUCUUUCGCUUUUUUAUAUUUUUUUUUUCGAUUAUUUUUUGUUCCCGUAUCAAAUAUACGUAUUCAUAUAUAUUUUGAUAUUCUUUGUCACAACUUACAUGAAAUCGAUUAACGUCAUUCAGUCUAGAUUAAGUCGAACAAAACAAAAUUGUAUAAUUUUUCAUAUUAAAUUCUUAGCCUAUUAACUUGGACUCGAUACUCAACAACCUUUACAAACUGCAAUAGUUAUGUGAUUUUUUUUACAAUUUAUAGCAACAUAAUUACCAUGAAAAAAGAACUUUUAAUUUAAACUACAACUUAGUUUUUUAUCGGUAACAACAAUAUACAACACUUAAUAUCAACAUCAUUUCCUACCGGUUUCUCUAAAUANGAUAUUAAUAAUGAACCAUAUCAAAAGUAGGCUAAGAAGUUAGAAUCUAAACUAGGAAUAAUCUUAUUUCCUUGAAUAUCAUAUUUACGGUAUUAUAGAAAAUUUUUAGUUGAUCGUAGAAUCAAAUUGCAUAAUUACAGUUAACAUUGUUUUUAUUAAACUUUGUAUGUAGGUAUGAAACAGCAAUAAGUAUAUUUUUGAAGGAACAUUGUUUAAAAUAAUUUGUAUAAUCUAAAUACAUGUUAAUUUAGUUCAUUUCUAUACUUUCCUGUAACAUUGGAAUUUUUUAUCAUGUUACAUUCAAAAUAUGGGUUAUUAGAACAGACACCUUAGGUGUUUGACGAAAUGUCUCAAAGAAUCUGACACAAGUUCUCUACGCUCACCUCACAACCAUGUAUAAAUUUUGGUUUUUUUUUUCUAGAUUUUUAGCAUCAUGUGUUUUUUAUGUUUGCAACUUUGUAGUGUUACAUGUUUUUUUGUCUCAUCCUCAGGUUUUUCUAUCUCUGAUAGGGCUUCAUUUUUUAUAUUUAUUGUAAACUAUCGAUUCAAUCUAUGUCACUUUGUUAUGACUUUUAUCAGCGUGAUAAGAUUUUAAUAAAUUGUCCAUUUCUUGAUCUUUUAGAAAAAGAUGUUCUAACUGGAUUAUCANUUUAUCAUCUACGACCGUAGUAUUCUAUUUUCUUGAUGAAGCGAUCUAUGAUUUGGCCAUGAUGGUUUUUACGGAUUAUGUUUGGACUGAUAAUUGUUCUUGUCAUCAAAAAAAUACAUCCAACAAAAAGUGAAAGAUAAUUUUUUUAAUUAAUACCAACAUUUAACUUUAAAUGAUUUUUUUCAACUUUGAUGACAUGUAACAGAGUUUUGGCUGAAAUUUUCAAUUUUGUCGGCAUAUAACAAGUUAUAACUUAAAUAAUGAUAUUAGAUAUCUAGGCAAUCAGGUUUUCUUCGGUUCUUAGAUUAUUUUGCAGAAAGUUGUUCAAUUUGGUAUUAUUGAUCUCACAAAAGGCAAGUCUCAUGUCUUUUUUAGCAUAUCCAUUGAGUUUAAUAGUUUAUUGUUCAUAUUUGUUUUUUUUUUAAAUGUUAAAUCUUGUUUUAGUGAAUGCAAGUCAGUAGGAAGUAAAGGUGCAAGAAAAGAAAAAUAAUAAAUAUGGGAUGAUCAUGAUUAUUUCAAGCCAAAAUAAAAUUCUAAAGUAACAAAUGCUAAAUUUAAAAGAUAAACACUUAUAAUGCAUAAUAUAUAUUAUACUUCCCAAAUAAGUAACCAAAAACUAAUCUCAUCCCCAAAUAAAUUACAUAUUAACUAACAUCAAUAAAUUAUGAUUAUAGUGUCUUGAUUUUUAAUUAUACAUUAUAGAGAGUCGGUUAAUAUGUAGUCAUUAUUUUUAUAUUCGUAUCGGUUUUGAACUACAAAAACUAUAUUCAAAUAAUAAAAAUGAAAUGUAACAUAUACGAUGGUAAUAAUGCAAAAAUAACCUUCAAAUUUGGUUUGAUACAAAAAAAUAGUCUAAAACUUAUUUAUAAAAGCAACAAGAAAUAACAACGAACUUUCAAAAAGAAAUGAGAAAUUGCAACUAACUUUUAAAAACUAUCAAGAAUGUAUAAUAUAGGAUGAUAAUAAUGCUUAAAAACACCGAAUUUGGUCUGAUGCGAAAAAAAGUAAUUUUAUAUGAAAGUAGGAUUGCAGUAAUACUAAAAGAACCUAUAUGUUUUUUAUCUGAUGCAAAAGUGGUCGAAACAUACUUCUAAAUUGGCAAGAAAUAUCAAUGAACUUUUAUUUCAUCUUGAAUAACCAUUUAAUAGAUAUAUAUGAAAGAUAUGAAUACUCAGCAGUUAAGACCAUAGACCUUACUCAAACGUCCGCAAAUGUCUUGAAGUAAGCAUUCAUUUUUCCAUUAUUUUAUCAUUGUCAUAAAAUAAAAAUAAAAAAUCAUCAUUUGUUUAAAUUGUUUAAUUCGUCUCAUAAUAACAAGUAAGUUGUGUGUCAAUUAUAUAUUUUGACAUUUUCAAUAAGUUAUGGACAAUAUCUAAAUCGAUCAAGCAUAAAUGUUUUUAUAUUUCUUUGUCAGAGUUUUUUUUUUUUUUUUUUUUUUUUUUUUUUUUUUUUUUUAAUUUNUUGCUAUUUUUUAAAAUAAACAAUUCUAUUUCGCAAUAUAACCAUAAAAUAACAAUGUAUUUUGAAAGUACAUUGUCAAACGUUGGAUUAUACUUGCGUAGACCCGUUUUGCGCAUAUGUAGUUGUUUCCGGUGUCACAAGUAAAAAAUGUUUGAAGUUACUUUGUGGCGAUGAAGGUCGUUCAACUAAUAAAACAAAAAAUAUUGUUUACAAAGAGGUCCUUCAACGACUAUAUAUAUUUACCAACCUCAGUGUAUUUUAUACACAUUUCAAUAAUAUCAAUAACCCUGAUUUUUUUAUAAUUAUUCUGCAAUAUCUAUAUACAUUUAUAUUUUAUUUAUGCGUUUUCCACGUUUAACGCGGGUCAUAAGCUAGUUUAAUAUUAUAUUAUUUACUUUUAUUAGUUUAUUAUUUUAUUUGAUUUUUUUUUUUAAAUUUUCAUGACUUUUCGUUUGGAUUAUUAUUAUUAUUUUUUAACUAUAACAUAAAUUAAUAACAACAAAACAUCCUCAUUUUUUAUUUGAAAUCUUGUUAGUGUUAUUAUUGAUUUUAUAAAUCCGUUUCAAUUUUAUAUUUUUUUGUUGCUAUUUAAAAUAUUUUUAGACUUUUUACAAAAGUUUUUUUUUAUAAGGCUUUUUACAAUCAUUUUUAAACUUCUUUUAGUCUACUAUGUAUGGGCAACACUAUAAGGCGUUAUGUUGAUUUGGCAGUUCCCAUAACGGCGCCAUAACAUCGGAAAACCACCCCCCUUUUAUGUUAUUUGGUGUUAUGUUAAGAAAUGUUACCAUGCCGACGGGAAGUAGCGUGAGAAUCAACCAAUCAAAAGUCAUUAUCUCACUCUCUCUCUCUAACUCUCUUUGUAUCUCUUAACAUGUUAUAACAUCCUUCUUAAUAAAUGAAAUUUUUUUUUGCCCCAUGUCAAUCUCUCAUUAGUUUUAACACUUGUCAUUUUGUGGAAUUUUUGAAAUAAAUAUUAUCCACUUGUCAACUUUUGAUUUGUUUCAAUUUUUAAAAUUAAACUCAUAUACUUAUAUAUGUAAAAUAUUAAAUAUCAUAUAUAUAUAUAUAUAUNUCUAAAAUUGUAUAUUAAAAAAUAUUUUUUAUUUAUACUUUAAUAUUUAAUCUUUUUUUAAAUCAACUCGUGUAUUACACGGGUUUCACACCUAGUGUUAAAACAUUUGCACAUCAUUUUCUACAUAAAUCAAAUGGUGUUAAAGAUGACAUGACAUAUGAGUUGGCAAAUUUUGGGUAUGAUAAUAUGUCUUAACAUAUUGUCCACACCCACCAACCUUACAAGUUUUUUCUACAAACUAUUACACAACCUUUACUUUUAAUAAAAGCUCUAACUUUUUUAGACUUUCUAUACAAUAUUUUUUAAAUAUCUUUAAUUCUUCUUAAACUUCAAAGCCUAUAAAUGUUGAAAAUACUAUAAAUAAAUAAUUUUAAAAGAUUUAAAACAUUAUAAAAACAUAAGUUUUAAAAACUUUUUGAAGCUUUUUAAACCUUUUAUAAAACCUCUAAAAGAACUCAUCAUUUUUAAACAUUUUUACUUACUAUUCAAACUUUUUAAACGUUUUUUCUAUGUUUUUUCAACAUUUAUAGGUAAAAAAAGUUUAAAAUUAAAAUUAAAAUUAAAUAAAAGACUAGUGUUAACUUUUAAAUACGUGGUAAAAACAUUUGUUAAACAGUAAAUAAAAUUUGUGCAAAAAUGUUUAAAUGUUAUAAAAAAAAUAUUAUAAAAAAAGUUGUAGAAACUAAUAUUAGUUAUUAUUAGAAAGUAUUAUCAUUUAAAAAUAACAAAUAAUUAUUAGCUUUGACUAAGGUUAUGUAGAAUGGGCUCAACAUUGCAUCAACAACAGUCGAGUUAGCUCGACAAAUACUGUGCCUUCAACUCGACAUGUCGAGCUCAGCAGUCCAAGUCAGUAACAACCAUAAUAUAUGAGACAAAAACUAUUUUAUCAAAAGAAAUUGAUUAUUUACCCUUUUUCAAAAAUACUAUUUUAACAAAAAAUUCAAAAUUUUAAUCAUUUUUCAACCAAUAUAAUAAAUACCUAUAAUCUUUUAUAUCACACCAAAACCAUUAAUAUUCUUCUUUAUCUAUCAAACAUUCAAGUAUUCAACAUCCAAUCUUAAAAAUGACUUCCUCUAACUUUCCAUCCAGCCAAAAAACUCUAAGAAUAAAUAAACAAAAACCUCCUACUAUAAAUAAUUCAAACCCUUUAUCAUUCAUCUUCCACCGAACUUAAAUGGAUCGUCCUAUAUUUUCACCACCUACGUUCCAUUAUCCUAGUGUCGAUCCAUAUUAUAAUCCAUGUCCUAGCCAAUCUAAUCCCCAAUUCCAUUCCUAAACCGAUUUUAACCCAUUUGAUGUCAUUCAAGAAACUUAACUCUAAUUCCAAUUCCAAUCUCAACCCCAAUUCUAAUCCUAAACCUAGUUCCAAUCCCAAUCCCAACCCUAAUCUUAUAUCCUAUCUGAAACAGAUUUCAAGCCUGGGGAAUACCAACAAAGUUGUCAUGGAGUUUAACGUCUAAUUUAUGAAUUGGAAGUAUGAUUGACAAAGUGGUACAAAUAAUGCAACAACACUUUAACAAGGCUUUAGAAGUUUACCGACAUGAUAUGGGGAUGCCUUUCAUUAUUUUUAGAGUUUUGGAAUAUUACGAAGGAGUCUAAAACUGGGUUGAAGUCAAAACUUUAGACUCAUAGGUGGUUCUAAAAGAACCAAAACAUCUUAAACCACCUAUAAAUAAUUGUCGAAUGCAUAUAUCAGGUUAGACCUCAACUAAGAUGAACCGAGUGAGGUUCAUAUGUCGGAACUAAGCUCAGUACAUUUUUCACCUAAAAUUCCCAUGAAAGAAUUGAAUUUCACAAACUCAUCGCAACUCAUUGCGACACCCUCUGCAAAACGUAAAGUAUCCAUACAUGAGUAUAUAUUGUAUGAUAUAUGUGGAGUCUCAUAUUAACUCUCCAAAAGAGCUUUUGUGGAGAGAAGGGAGACUCCAAAGCAUAUAGCUAUUUAUAAGACUACGUCACACCGAUGAGAGAUACACUAACACUCCCUCAGAGUUGGAUGUUCGAUAAAGAUAGACAUGAAUGUGUUGGGCCAUGGGGGUACGGGACAUCGAAUUUGAUAUCAUGUAAAAUAUAUAUGUAGUCUUAUAUUAACUCUCCAAAAUAGCCAUUGUAGAGAGAGAGAGAGAGAGAGAGAGAGAGAGAAGAAACUCUAACAUAUAUCUUGUCUAUAAGACCGUGUCGCACCAUUAUAAGAUGUACACUGUCAUAUAAGUGUGAUUACCAUGGGUAGAUAUACAGUGGAUCCCCGGGUAUCCCGGGAUGCCCAUCAAAAAAAUUUUAAUAGUAUAAAUUUUUUCAGACAAUUUCGUUUAUGUUGCGGUCCUUAAUAUUAAUUUGUUUAGUGAAAAUAACAAAAGUUGUAUUUAGUUCAGUUGAUUAUGAUGAUAUGGUGUUUUUCUGGAGGUUUCAAGUUCAAAUAUUCUUUUUAACAUUUAUUUUCUUUUAUUCUCGCAACUAUAUAAAAGUAAUUUAUAUAGCAUUAUACAGAUUUUAUACAUAUUAUAUUAUGAUAUGAAAAUUAAAUACAAAUAUCGAGAUGUCCAAGUUGUAAAAUGUUGAGCUUUUAAGUUAGAUGUACUUAUGUCGAAUCCUAACAUUGACAAGUGUGUAUUUUAUUUUGUUUAUCAAUUUCUAUCCUAUAUUCUUUCAACUUAUUUCUUAUUUCUUACUAUAAUUUUAAAAUUGUCCUACGUCAGCCAUAACAUGAAACAUAAUUUCUAUACAUCUAUUAUAUAAGCAACACAUGCUUCUUAACUCUCAACAAGUUAAAAUUUUGAAUGAGUUUGCGUUUAAACCCAAAACCGAGUUUAGAAAACUGAAAAACCAAACUCAUUUAUUUGGGAUACCCCUCUAUUUUGACCUUGAAUAUGCACGAUGACGAGUACUUGUUUUUGAUCAUACCAUAAGGUGACAUGUCCUAUUUCAAAAAAAGACUCGAGGCUAUAAGAAAAGAACGCCUUUUUUUUUUUUUUUUUUUUUUUUUUUUGUGUGUGUGUGAUUUAUAUCCAACGUUACAAGUAUGGUCCCUCAUAUUUAUUAUUUUAUACACAGUGUAUCCUUCAAUUAUUUUGUUAAUGCUUAAUAUUUUUAGAACAUUACAGAUUAAUCCCUUUGAGUUUCAUAAAUAUCUAUUAAACUCCUUAAAUUAAAUUAAAUAAUAAUUAAACCCUUAUAGUUAAUUUACAUAUCAAAUAAACCUCAUUGUAUUUUAAUUUUCAUAUUUGCAAAUUUUUAUUAAGUAAACUAAAUUCAUAAAUUACGAUAUAUAAUUAAAUAACGAUAAAUGGGUGUUACAUUAUAAAGUUUUGGAUUUGUUAUUCGAAUUAUGGAAAUGAUAAUGAAAUUUUGAAAUAUUAUUAUUAUUAUUAUUAUUAUUAUUAUUAUUAUUAUUAUUAUUAUUUAUAAUCUAUAAUCUAUAAUUUAUAAUUUAAANNNNNNNNNNNNNNNNNNNNNNNNNNNNNNNNNNNNNNNNNNNNNNNNNNNNNNNNNNNNNNNNNNNNNNNNNNNNNNNNNNNNNNNNNNNNNNNNNNNNNNNNNNNNNNNNNNNNNNNNNNNNNNNNNNNNNNNNNNNNNNNNNNNNNNNNNNNNNNNNNNNNNNNAUAUACACACCAGUGUUACAACCCAUACAAUAUAUACGGUUGAAAAGAUAAAAUAAAAUUGAAACUUUAAAAAACAUAAUAUGAAUUAUUUUUAAAUUUAGUUAGAUAUUACGGCAAAAAUGUCUCUUUAAAAAAUAUAGAAACAAAAACGAUUAUCAUUUCAUAUUUUUUCUAAGGUUGCUUAGUUAACCGAGUUUGAGUAACUAUAUGAACGGUUUGCCUUCACUGAAUUGUUAAAAAAUGAAGAUACAAAUAUGAAAUUAAAAGUAAUAGGUACUAAAUUUGAUUCCUAUAUCAAUUCCAUUCUCAAUAUAAUAUGAAAAAAUUUUAAAAAUAUAAGUUCAAUCUUCUAUAGCAUGGAAAAUAAUGGAAAAUAAAAAGUUAUCUAAUUUGGAAGCUUUUGUUUUAAAAUUUUUAUAAAUAUUUUAAAACUAAAAUAAUACAAUAUUACUAACCUGGUUUAUUAACAUUUUUUAUACAAUCACACUAAAAUAGCCGUCAAAAACUAUCAAUUUGCUAAACUUUCAACUAAAGAAUGGAACACAGUUAUUACAAAUAUGAAUUGCAUGAGUAUUUUUUUUCUUUUGAAAUGGCAAAUCUAACCUACUCCUACUACACCUUAAAUCUACCUAUGUCUACGACGAGACUUGAACCCUCAACCUUAAGGAGAAAAGACAACACCGGAUACCACUAGACUGAAAGCCCUUUGAUAAUUGAACAAGUAUCUGGUGAUAGUUGAAACUAAGUUACCAUAUUGAAAAAGAUUAUUGUUAUAUGAUAAAAUUAAGUUACCAACUCCUUUAGCAUUUUGUUUAUUUACAAAAAUUCCCCUACAUAUACAAUACAUAUACAAUAAUGAGUCGUCACAUUUCAAAAAAAAAAAAAAAUCAAUACUAAGCAUUGCAAAUCUGUACAACGUGCAUAUUAGUUGUUGCAAUUCAAUCUUAAAAGCAUAACACAUAUAUUAUAAGGCCCCGUUUGAUAUGCAUCUUUCCAGGUCCAAACAGAUCUUUCUGGCUAAAUGGACCGGAAAGACUGUUUGAUUUGCACAAAGAAAUGAGUAUUUCCCGGUAAGAUAUGUCUUUCCCAGAAAUCCCCAAAAUCAUAUCUUUCUGGCUGAAUGGGCUGAAAAGACAAUUAUGCACCAAACCCCGUCUCUUUCUUUCUUUAUUAGAUUAUUAAUUUUUUAAAAUUUUAAAUAACUUUUUUUAAAGUUAUAUUUUGUUGAAUUAUUACUUUUUUCAUCAUUCAGCACAGUCAAUCAGAUGUACAAUCAAACAACAUGGUUUCUUUCUCAGUCAGAAAACUUUCCCAGACAGCACUUUACCAGACAAAAACUAUCAAACGGGACCUAAAUUUUAAUUUUUGAUGGAAUAUCGAAAAUUAAAAUCUGUCAUUGUUGUGGAUUGGUGGGUAUCUGUGGGUACUUAGCAUUGAUGAUGGACCAUCUAGCGUAGAAAUAAAAGAAAGAGGCAAAAUGAUUUUUCAAUAUAAAAAUUCACAAGAAUUUAAAUAGGGACAAUUUUGGAACAUAAUGUAAGUUGAUAUAUGACAAUCACGUGAAAGUAUGAUGCUACAUUGUUAGAAUAAAACGUACACACAAACAACAACACUAACACACACACAACAACAACAACAAUAAGAAACACACACCCACAGUACAUUAACACAUCCACAUCCACAAUGAAACACCAGCCAAAAUAAGACAAAGAGUAAAUUGCUUCAAGUUCUUGUUUUCUCUCUUUAAUUCUUGGGAGACUAGUCUCAUCUAAUUAGCUUCUAUCAUUUGGUGCUUUCAUUUCUCUCAGCAUGCCUCCCACAAAUGAGCAACUCCAGACCCUUCUCCACCUUACCACCACCACUAACCACCGGCUUGACACACUCACUACAAACAUGAACACCCUUGUCACCAUCCUCACCGAUCAACAAAACAGCCAGCCCCCUCCACCCCCACCGACACUGUCGCCGCCGUCGCCACCACUGCCACAACAACAACCAAGACCACCAAAAAUCUUUCUUCCCAACUUUGAUGGUACCAACCCACUUGACUGGUUGUUCCAAGCGACCAACUACUUUGAGUACUAUGCAAUUCCGCCACCACAACGACUUUCACUUUCAGUUUUUUAUUUUACCGGCGAAGCUUUGAGUUGGUACAAACAUUUGGCUAACAACCAAAUGCUUGGUACAUGGGCAGAAUUUUCUCGAGCAUUGGAAUUGUAUUUUGGCCCAUCUACAUAUGUGAAUCAUCAAGCUACACUCUUCAAGCUUACACAAACUUCCACCGUUUCGGUAUACCAAGUCGAUUUCGAGAAAACUAGCAAUUGUGUUGUCGGCCUCACCCCGGAAGCAUUGCUGAAUUGCUUCUUAUUCGGCCUUCGAGAUGACAUUCAAAAUGAAAUAGCACUCCAAAAACCCACCACCCUUCAUCAAGUUCAUGGUCUUGCGAAGCUCAUUGAAGACAAGCUUUGUGCUCUACUUCCAUCUUUGGAGGGUUCCCUUGCGACUCCACCAACGAAACCACCUUUAUUGCCCGCUCCGAUCAAGCAAUUACGUCCCAUCGAGAUGCAAAAAUGACGAGCGGAAGGUUUAUGCUACAAUUGUCCCGCAAAAUACCAAUCGGGUCACUAAGGCAACCCACCAAAAUUUCUCCUUCUUCAGUCGGAGUCUGACCCGCCAUGGACUUCCGUUGCCCAUCAUGAUCUCAGCCUUGAGGACAAUGCCAUUUUUCAGGGCGGGAGUAUUGAUACUAACACCUUUAUGCACUAGGCCACAUUGUUUUUAAUUAGUCAAACAAUAUUUGCAUUUUAUUAGGAACCCAUUAUUUUAUUUGCACGCAUGUUUCCUAUUUCUUAGUUAGUGGUAGUAGUGGUAUGUUUUCAUAUGUAGUUCACUAUAACUUUCGUUGAAGGCAAGAAUGAAAACCGAAAAUUGCUGCAAGUACUUGUCUUCUCUCUUUAAUUCUUGGGAGAUUAUCCUCCUCUGAUUAUCUUCUAUCACUAAACAACCAUCGAACGAUGAUGAUAACACCACCUCCUUACCACUGCUUCAAGGAGGUGUUUGAGAUUACUUUUUAAACCAAAAAGUUCUUUUUAUAAAAGUUCUUUUCUUAAAAAUUAUUUUAAGAAGUAAACGUUAAAAUUUAUUUAAAAAAAAUGUUUGGAUGAUAUUUCUUGACUUCUGAAUGUCUUUUACAUUUUAAAAAGCCAAAAGUCACAAAAAGAUACAAUUUCGGGGGUGUUUGCUUAGCUUUUCACAGCCCAAAAGUCCUUUUUGGAAAAGUUACAAAAAGUCAGGAUUUCCUGACUUUUCCAAAAAGUUCAAUUUUCUUUUAUAAAAACUCCAAAAGUAGUUUUUAAAACUAGUUUUGCCAAAUAUCUUUUGCUUUUUUUCUUUUCUAAAAAGGACUUUUGGCUGUGAAAAGCUAAGCCAAAUACCCCCUUCAUGACUUUUGAAAAACCUUUUUUUUUUGUUGGCAAAAAGUUAUUUUGAAAAGUUAUUUUCUAAUUCCCAAACAUCUUUUGAAUUUUUUAACUUUUUGAAAAAGCUAAAAAUCAAAAUGUUAUUUUAAAAGCAAUCCCAAACACCCUCCAAGGGUCGCCACUGGUUGCACUUGAUGAACCUAAACAACAACAUAAGUGGAUAUUUUUAUUGGGAGGAAGUGCAUGUACGAACUGAUUCAUGGGAAAAUCGAUUUGAUGUCCUUCCUAACCCUCAAUCCUAAUUUGUUUUCAUCUAUUUAUAUAUGUUUUUCUCGAGAUAUUGCAACCAACCCGUUCAUUAACCAAACCCUAGAAUCUUGACAUAUUGAUAUCAGAAUCAGAAAAUUGAUACUUGAAGCCAACUAAAACCUAAAAGCUGUAAUCAACUCCAAACCCUAAACUUUCAAAUUAGAACCCACAGAUCGUAGUAGAAGAAAGAACCUAAAAAAUCAAACGAUAAUCCCAUUCACCACCACCAGAUUGAUGCCUAAGGGCCCAUUUCUUUUCAUAAAUCCAAAUCAGCUCAUCUGAAAUCGAAGAAGGGAUUUUUUAGAAAUCGAAAUCGAAGACUCCAUCCAUGGUUUGAUCUCGUCGACUACUCAACGUUCUCCAAACCUCAGUCCAUAUCCGAGGAACAGGCUGUAGAACGACGACCACCAACAUCUGUAUAAUUUCGACUUCGACUUUAAUUUCUAGAACCAUUUUCGAUUUUAAUUUUUGGAACCAAUUUCAGUUUCUUUUUUAUUUUGGUUCGGUUUGGUUCUCAUCCUACUGCUAUCGAGGAACCUCAUAUUGGUUUCCUUUUCCAAUCUUGUUUGGUUCAAGAGAGAUUGAGAGACCAUCAUUGUUGGAAGCCUGGAACUGCAAUAGAGGGUCGGUGGUCGUCGGUGGUGGUGGUGGCCGGUAAGUGGUGAUGAGGAUGCUUUAUGAUUUCAAGUGUUUUGAGAGGAAAAUAAGAACAUAAAUAUACAGGUUGUAUUUUUUUUAAUACAAAAUGAAUUAUUAAUGAAUAAAAAAUAAAAUAGCAAGGGUAGUAUAGUCAUUUUAUAUUUGGUAAAGGGUUAAGUGUGCAAAUUUAAAGUAACGAGGGAUGAAGUAUGACAUUUUUAAACAAACAAGGGAUGAUCUGUGUUAGGUGCACUUCAUGCACCCAUUUUGUAGCUUUAUUUCAUAAAAGUGCAUUACAUCUAGGCUUAAAUGAUGGGUUUGAGCCAUAAGAACAUUCCUAUGUGCACAUACAAACCCUAAUGCUUGGAUCUAGGUUUCUCUAAUUGAACAUGCAAAGUAUCCAAGACUUUUGAUUAUAGGUCUAGUAUAAUAACACAAGAAAACAGAUUUAAAAAUUACCUUGACUUUCUUGCUUGAAUCUUCUUGUCCUUGGAGCUUAGAGUCACAAUUAUCACUCCUCUAAUGGCUUACAAACACCAACUUAGCAAGAGGAUGAUUGGAGAGAGAGGGGAGAGGGCAAGAAGUCGGCUAGGGUUCUUCCAAAGACUAGUGUCCCGAUUUCCUUGACCCCUUGGGUCUAUUUAUACUUGUAAGGAUCCUAGGGUUUCAUCAUUAAACCCUAAUUGGAUAACUUAGGCCCUAAGCAAUCCAAUCCCCCUUAUGAUAAGCCUUGGACGAUUUCUAGGUCUAUCCAAAGCCCUAAAACCGUCCACCCCUUAUCCUUAAGGGAUUAUAGCCCAAAGUACAACUAUCACACAUUUGACAGUUUAUGCCCCUUUAUUCAAUUAAUCUCUUUAAGUCACCAAAUUAAUUCCUAAUUAAUUUAUGACUUAUAUUAAUCAAAUAAUAAUAUUAUUAUUCCUUAUAUUAUUCUCAUAAUAUAUUAAUAAUAUUUCUUCUCUCAUUACAAAUCAUCCUGUCAAGUUGCUAUGGUGAAGGCAACCCAAAAGGACCAUGCACAACCGGAUCAAAUACUUGCCUAAUAUAGUUACAGCCUUAGACACUAUUCCAACAGUCUCCCACUUGGAUAAGUCUAGUAACUAUACAAGUACAAUUCGGUUUGCAAUCGUAGCUCUCAAAGACGCUGUCAACUCUGAUCUAAUCAAUCUUGUCCUUUAGAUAAGGGAACGUACAGUCCUCUGUUAGAUAUCAUGCUGACAAUCCUAUGGAAUGGUUAGUCAAGCAUUUAGGUUUCUCGAUCUCUGAUUUAUUUGACAUAGAACUUAAUCGAACACAUCAAUUCAGUUCUGACCGGGCCCGGCACAUAAGUCAAAUCAAAUCAUCGAGCGGCCGAGAUAUCGCUUUUACCUUCUUAGAUAAAAGUUACAGAUAAACUUCGACUUAUAUGCAUUUACUUAUUCAUUUACCAACUAUACACAACAAUACGUUUUAUAACACCAAGUUACUGAUGCGUUUUCGUAUUAUCAAUGUACAAUCAAUUAACAAAUAAUAAACCAUAUAUCUAGGUUUUAAGACUAUAUGAUAUUAUCGUCUUGCGAUCACCUUUUAUAUCGUAUUCCAUAAGGUGAUUCCAGCAAGCGCGGGUUUAUUCCAAUGCUCAAAACUAGUUCAUAAGCACUCAUGAACGUUGCAGCAAUCCUUUGCUAUGUCUAACACCAUUUAGACAUUCUACACACCAAUUCAUGACAAUCUUCAUUCAUAUCUACUCCCAACAUAUGAACGAUUGUGGACCAUUUGAACAAUUCGAUUAUUCCUAAUAAACUCAAUUAUUCUGGAAGUCAAAACAUGCAAAGUGAAACAAUAGCUAAACAAUUAACAUAAGAUAGUAACAUUACUCAUAAAUAAAACUCCUUUAUUUAAUCAUCAAAUGUUAAUUACAUUUAUCUAUUACACGUUUCUAAUACUAUCUAAUCUAUGCUAAUAUCAUCCUUCAGCCCAAUACUCCUAGCAUGCUGCAAGUGCUUAACCCUACUCAGUCCCUUCGUAAGCGGAUCUGCUGGGUUAUCUUCUGAUGAUAUCCUCUUCACUACGAGUUGUCCUUCUUCUACACGAUGUCUAAUGAAGUGAUACUUUCUGUCGAUAUGUCUUGAUCUACCAUGAUCCCUCGGUUCCUUGGUUAAGGCAACCGCACCUUCGUUAUCACAGAAAAUCUCCAUUGGCUCCUUUAUGGCAGGUACAACUCCAAGAUCACCGAUGAAGUUCUUUAGCCAUAUUGCCUCCUUCGACGCUUCGCUCGCUGCAAUGUACUCUGAUUCGCACGUUGAAUCAGCUACGGUUUCCUGCUUGGAACUCUUCCAUGUCACUGCUCCUCCAUUUAGGGUAAAGACCCAGCCCGACUGCGAACGGUAGUUGUCCCUGUCGGUCUGAAAACUGGCGUCACUAUACCCUCGCACCUUCAAGUCAUCACUCCCUCCGAGGACUAAGAACCAUUCCUUCGUCCUCCGAAGGUACUUAAGGAUAUUCUUCACCGCAAUCCAAUGUGCUUUGCCAGGAUUCCCUUGAUAUCUGCUAACCAUGCUCAAAGCGAAGGCUACAUCAGGGCGAGUACAAGUCAUAGCGUACAUGAUUGAGCCAACUGCGGAAGCGUAUGGUACUCGGCUCAUUUCUGCUAUCUCAGCUUCGGUACUCGGACUUUGAGUCUUACUCAAUUUGGCAUUACUUUGUAUCGGUAGUUCUCCCUUCUUUGAGUUUUCCAUACUAAAACGUUUUAGUACCUUCUCUAAGUAAGUAUUCUGACUAAGUCCAAUUAGUCUCUUACUUCUUUCUCUUACUAUCCUUAUUCCCAAAAUGUAAGAAGCCUCUCCGAGGUCCUUCAUAGCGAAGCACUUCCCGAGCCAGGACUUAACCUCCUGCAGAGUCGGGAUGUCGUUUCCUAUGAGUAAUAUGUCAUCGACAUAUAGAACGAGGAAGCUUACUAUACUCCCACUGGCUUUGACAUAUACACAAGAUUCGUCUUCGCUUCGUACAAAUCCAAACUCUUUGACUUUCUCAUCGAAGCAAAGAUUCCAUCUGCGAGACGCUUGCUUAAGUCCAUAAAUGGACUUCUCAAGCUUACACACUCUAUUCGGAUGCUUCGGAUCCACAAACCCCUCUGGCUGAGCCAUGUAAACAUCCUCAGCCAACUUUCCGUUAAGGAAAGCGGUCUUGACAUCCAUUUGCCAAAUCUCAUAAUCAUGAAAUGCGGCAAUUGCUAGCAUCACUCUAAUAGAUUUAAUCUUCGCAACUGGUGAGAAGGUCUCAUCAUAGUCAACUCCGGGAGUUUGAGUAAAGCCCUUCGCAACCAAUCGCGCUUUAUAUGUGUGUACGUUUCCAUCCACGUCGGUCUUCUUCUUGAAGAUCCAUUUGCACCCAACGGUCUUACGUCCGGGCACAUAAUCAACCAAAUUCCAAACUUGGUUAUCAUACAUGGAUUGGAUCUCGCUAUCCAUUGCCUCUUUCCAUUUUGCAGACUCCGGGCCUGCCAUGGCUUCCUUAUAGCUAUUAGGUUCAUCAAGAUUUAUUAGUGUACCAUCACUAAUAUACGUGUCCCCUUCGGUAGUAAUAUGAAAACCAUAAAACUGGGGUUGAACUCUAACUCUUUCGGAACGUCUAAGAGGUAAGGACUCGUCAAUCGGUUCAACCGGAGUUUCCUCCUCGGGUUGAGUGCCAGCGGUAGAGGUUCCUUCAUCUAUCGAUUCUUGAAUCUCUUCAAGCUCGAUUUGCCUCCCACUGUCUCCUUGGCUUAUGAGUUCUCGCUCUCGGAAAACUCCUCUCCUCGCAACGAAGACAACAUUGUCCUUCGGUCUAUAGAAGAGAUAUCCAAAGGAUGUCUGCGGGUAGCCGAUGAAAAUACAUCGCUCACUUCGAGGUUCAAGCUUGUCGUGAGUAUCUCGUCUUACGAAAGCCUCGCAACCCCAAACCUUGAUAUGUGCCAACGAGGGAGCUUUCCCUGUCCACAUCUCGUGAGGUGUUUUGGCAACCUUCUUAGUAGGGACUCGGUUAAGGAUAUGGGCGGCAGUCUCUAAGGCAUACCCCCAAAAAGAGAUAGGUAGUGAAGCACGACUCAUCAUAGAGCGAACCAUAUCCAAUAAGGUUCGAUUACGCCUUUCUGCCACACCAUUCAACUGCGGUGUCCUAGGAGGCGUCAAUUGUGAAACUAUUCCACACUCCUUGAGAUAAUCGUGGAAUUCAAGACUUAGGUACUCUCCUCCUCGAUCGGAUCGAAGCAUCUUGAUUUUCCUGCCCAAUUGAUUCUCCACUUCAUUCUUGAACUCUUUGAACUUUUCAAACGUUUCUGACUUUUGCUUGAUUAAGUAGAUAUACCCAUAUCUACUAUAGUCAUCGGUAAAAGUCACAUAGAAGCGGUUCCCAUCCUUUGUGGUUGAUCUAAACGGUCCACAUACAUCGGUAUGUAUGAGGUCCAAUAAACCCUCACCCCUUUCACAUGUACUAGUGAAGGGUGACUUGGUCAUCUUUCCAAGUAAACAAGACUCGCAUGUGUCAUCUUCCCUAAGGUCGAAUGACUCCAACACUCCAUCCUUUUGGAGUUGGGCUAUGCGCUUCUUGUUGACAUGUCCAAGACGACAAUGCCACAAGGAUGCUCUAUCCAUACUAUUGGAAGAAUCCAUGCAUAAAACAUCAUUUCCUAGGUUAUCUACAAUCAUAACAGUUUCAUAAAUUCCAUUACAUGGUAUUGCUUCAAAAUAUAAGACACCAUUUAGAUAAGCAUAAAUAGAACCAUUCUCAUUAUUAAAAGAAAAUCUAAAUCCUUGUCUAAACAAACCAUGAAAUGAAAUGAUGUUUCUUGCCAUUUCUGGCGAAUAGCAACAAUUGUUCAAAUCUAAACAUAAACCAUUCCUAAGCACUAAAGAAUACACUCCAAUCUUGGUCACAGGCGACGAUCUUCUGUUCCCCAUGAUUAGAUUUAUUCUUCCAUGCUCCACAUCCCUAUUUCUUCUUAGUCCCUGCAAUUCAGAACAAAUGUGGUAACCACACCCGGUAUCUAGGACCCAAGAAAUAGCAUGAGAUGAAUCAUUAGAUUUAAUUGUGUAUAUACCUGCGAAAGACGGCUUGAUCUUUCCUUCCCUGAUGGCUUGCAGGUAUUCUGGGCAGCUUCUCUUCCAAUGCCCUAUUUUGUGGCAAUGGUGGCACUCUGCCUCCUUUGGGUUUGGGUUGGGCUUAUCAGGAUCAACUUUGGUCCCACUAGAAGAGGAACCAUCUCGGGACUUUCCCUUGUGGUAGCUCUUAGAUGGAGCCUUCCUCUUCUUACCUCUUCCUUGCCCAAUUGCCAAAACAGGAGCAACUGGUGGAUUGGGAGUUGGUGCAACAGACUUGUCCUUGAGGUUGCUCUCAGCAACCCUUAGGAGACCUUGGAGCUUACUUAGGGUGACCUCUUCCUUGUUCAUGUGGUAGGUCAUCCUAAAUUGAUUGUAACACGGAGGCAAGGAGUGAAGCACCAUGUCGAUAGCCAAGUCUUCCCCAAAGUCAACAUUCAACUUGCGAAGACGAUCGACAUACCUUUGCAUCUUUUGCAGGUGCACGGUUAGAGAUUCUCCAUGACCCAUUUUAGCGGAGAUCAUGUUAGUGAAGAUCUCGUAACGCUCCUGCCUCGCGUUUUGAUGGUAUCUCUCCAAUAAGUCUUGGUGUAUUUCGUAUGGAUACAUGUCCUCGUAGGACUUUUGGAAUUCAACGUUCAUUGUGGCUAUCAUGAUGCAAUGAACCUUCGUUGCAUCACAUUCAUGAGUCUCAAAAGCAGUCAUUUCAGCCGGAGUAGCGAUUUCUGGGUUGAUCUUCUCGAGCUUCUCAUCGAGGACAUACUCCUUGUUCUCGUAGCGAGCAAUCGUGCAAAUGUAUCUUAUCCAUUCGCUAAAGUUCGUUCCAUCGAAAGUCACCUUUUGGCAAAGGCUCAUCUAUGUGAAUGAACUAGCAGCAUCGUUGUUCGAGUUCGACAUCUACAAAUAGAAAGGACAAAGAUUGAUUAGAAUUAAAAUCCCUAAUUAUCACCCAAUAUGAAAAAUUAGGGCUAGGAUCCAACAACAUUAUUUACAUAUUAGAAAAGGGAUGCCGUAAUCCAACAUGCAAACAAUUUGAAGGUAAGUGAAUGACGAUUCACUAAUUCUCCACCAUGAAAACAUAACCUUAAGUUCUAAAUGUAUUGAGAAUUCCUAGGUUUCGAUGAGAUUCAUUGAACUUUUCAAUGGCAUGUUUAAAUCUCGAUAUGCCCCUCUCGUUUGUGACUGGGAUACCGAGGAUCACAAAGUGGGUGUGAAUAACCAUGCAAAUCUACACGGUGCCUUCAUUGUAACAAUCACCUAUUCGAUGUGCCGGUAAACCACACACGCUCCAUCGAACUAUGAUAAACAAUGAAUCACCCUUUGCCACCUUUGCUUAGAACCAAUUAGUGUGCCGGUAAACCACACACGCUCCACUAACUUCUUAGCAAGGGUGCAAAGUGUAAUUUCAUGGGAUUGCAUCAAUUCACUUUUCCUAAAGUAACUAGGAUUGGGAAUUUUUAAAAAAAUGUAGUUACUUUGUAUUUCAUAUUAUACUUUUAAUGAGGAGAUGAGGUUGCCCUAUCCUACCCGUUCGGCUAACGACCCUCCACCGAUCAAGCAAGCGGUGGGUGUGAGUGUACACCCAUUAAGCGUCAUUUUAUAGGCCGCAACCUUAUACCCACCUUAUAGACCGGCUUCGUGAAUGAGGCCUACUAACGGUAAGACUAGCAUUUUAAUUAUACAUAUAUAUAUAUAUAUAUAUAUAUAUAUUAAUCUUGUAAUAUUAUAUUAGUAUAGGGUUGAAUUUUAAACUUGUAAAAUUCUAGGGUUUGAAAUUUAAAUUGUCUAAAUUAAACUUUUAAUCACAAAACAUAAAUUUCAAAACUUGAGGGCAAGUUUUAAACUUUUCAAAACAUAGGGGAUCAAAUAACAAAUAAUCCAAAUUAACAUUUAAUCACAUAAUUAUCCAUAUUUGAUUUAUUUAAUUAUUUCUUGCAAAACAAUUUACCAAUUUAAUUAAAAUAAUUAAUCAAUUAUCACAUAAGGAAAUUAAUAUUCAAUUAAUUGAUAAAUAUCUUCAAUUAGGUCAAGAAUAUACUCAAAUAUAUCAUAAAAUCGGAUUUAUAUUGACCUAUUAAGAUUAAGGUAAGUAUCCAAAAGAUAAACAACAAGAAAUCCCGAAAUUAGCUCUUUCUGACGCUCGAACUCGCCGAGUACCACAAUGGACUCGCCGAGUUGAGCCUACUCGCCGAGUCCACUAUGGGACUCGCCGAGUUCAUCAGGCAGAAUCACAAAAUUCGAAUUUUGCAAGCAACAAACAAGCAACCAAUGCAUCAAUUCAAUAGAAACCAAUCUAGGCUCUGAUACCACUGAUGGGUUUUAGCCAUAUGAACAUUCCUAUGUGCACAUACAAACCCUAAUGCUUGGAUCUAGGUUUCUCUAAUUGAACAUGCAUUGAAUCCAAGACUUCUAAUGACUAUUAGAGUAUAAUAACAUAAGAAAUCAGAUUUGAAAGAUUACCUUGAAUCACUUGCUUGAAUCUUCUUGUCCUUGGAGCUUAGAGUCACAAUUGUCACUCCUCUAAUGGCUUACAAACACCAACUUAGCAAGAGGAUGAUUGGAGAGAGAGGGGAGAGGGCAAGAAGUCGGACAGGGUUCUUCCAAAGACUAGUGUCCCGAUUUCCUUGACCCCUUGAGUCUAUUUAUACUUGUAAGGCUCCUAGGGUUUCAUCAUUAAACCCUAAUUGGAUAACUUAGGCCCUAAGCAAUCCAAUCCCCCUUAUGAUAAGCCUUGGACGAUUUCUAGGUCUAUCCAAAGCCCUAAAACCGUCCACCCCUUAUCCUUCAGGGAUUAUAGCCCAAAGUACAACUAUCACACAUUUGACAGUUUAUGCCCCUUUAUUCAAUUAAUCUCUUUAAGUCACCAAAUUAAUUCCUAAUUAAUUUAUGACUUAUAUUAAUCAAAUAAUAAUAUUAUUAUUCCUUAUAUUAUUCUCAUAAUAUAUUAAUAAUAUUUCUUCUCUCAUUACAAAUCAUCCUGUCAAGUUGCUAUGGUGAAGGCAACCCAAAAGGACCAUGCACAAUCGGAUCAAAUACUUGCCUAAUAUAGUUGUAGCCUUAGACACUAUUCCAACAUUAAACUCAUGCAUUUUACAUGUUUUUCAGGAUUUUGCAUGAUACUAUUUCAGUCGCACACUUUUGUGAUAUUUCAGGAACUUUUGGAGGUGGGAUCUUACUUGAAGAGGUGAAUAAAAUUUGAGGACAAGAUUUCAUGACUUGUGGAGCACCAGGAAGGAAGAUAUUGAAGAAUUGAAGAUUGCAGUCAUUCAGGGAUUUACACGGCCGUGUAAACGUAAGGCAUGAGUUUACGUGGGCCGCAUAUCUGAAUCUACAAAUGUAGUUUGAGUGUUCUACUUUUUGUGUUUACGCGGGCUGCAUAAACGAUAAUGUUAAUUUACGCGGGUCGUGUAAACGUGGACAUGGGUUUUAAUGCAGUUUUUCAUCUUUCUUAAAAGGGGUAACCGAUUUCGUCUUUUGUCUUGUCGAUUUUGGGAGCUUUGGGGGCAAUUUUCUGGAUGAUUUUGGAGUCAAUUAACACUUGGAAACACUUGGAUUUCAGUUGGAUUUCAUUUUUUAAGAACUUUAACUUCAUUUUUUAGAUUUGUGUUCUUGUUCUAGUCUUGUGUGGCUAGAACCAUAGAUUCUCCAACCUUAUGUUUUGACUUCUUAGUUGUGAUUUUAAUCAUAUUACUUGAUGUUUUUUAAUUUCUAUCUAGUGAAUUUGAUUUUGCUUUACUCAAAUGUUUGAUUCUAAUUGUGAUUCUUAUUGACGAUUUGAAUUAGGGUUAGGUCAUUCAAUUUAUCUAAUUGCAAAAUCCAUAAUUGUUUUGUGAAUUGGACUAAGUAACAAACACUAAACUGAUUUCCAUUGAAUGAACUUAGUGUAAAUCUUAUUCAUACACUCUUACGCUCCCGAGCUUUUGAGGAGUAUUGGGUGUUGUUGGGAACAUUCAUAUAAAGUUUAAUGCAUUCUUUCAAUCUAAUUCUAAGAGCUUGUUUAGAUUAGGUUAGUAAGGUUAGGGUUAAUCAAAGAGCUUGUUUUGGUUAAUUAAUGUAGUGAAUGGGAAGUGUUAGUGCUUGUUAACACUUUCAAGUACCAACUUAGAUAGAAUUGAGCAAUUAUCUAGUCAUCUUUGAAUCGCAUUGCUAAGUUGUCAUACAUAAAGUUGGAGUCCUUACAAUUUCUGAAUUCAAUUCACUCAUUUAGUCGAUUACGUGGGUUUUAAAGCAGUUUUUCAUCUUUGUUAAAAGGGGGCAACCAAUUUCAUCUUUUGUCCUGUCGAUUUUGGGAUUUUGUAGAGGAUUUUGGAGUCAAUUAACACUUGGAAACAUUUGGAUUUCAUUUGGAUUUCAUUUUGUAAGAACUUUAACUUCAUUAUUUAGAUUUAUGUUCUUGUUCUAGUCAUGUGUAGCUAGAACCCUAGAUUCUCCAACCUUAUGUUUUGACUUCUUAGUUGUGAUUUCAAUCAUAUGACUUGAUGCUUGCUUUUAAUUUCUAUCUAGUGAAUUUGAUUUUACUUUAAUCAAAUGUUUGAUUCUAAUUGUGAUUUUUAUUGGCCAUUUGAAUUAGGGUUAGGUCAUUCAAGUUAUCUAAUUGCAAAAUCCAUAACUGUUUUGUGAAUUGGACUAAGUAAUAAACACUAAACUGAUUUCCAUUGAAUGAACUUAGUGUAAAUCUUAUUCAUACACUCUUACGCUCCCGAGCUUGUGAGGAGUAUUGAGUAUUGUUGGGAACAUUCAUAUAAAGUUUAAUGCAAUCUUUUAAUCUAAUUCUAAGAGCUUGUUUAAAUUAGGUUAGUAAGGUUAGGGUUAAUCAAAGAGUUUGUUUUGGUUAACUAAUGUAGUGAAUGGGAAGUGUUCGAGCUUGUUAACACUUUCAAGUACCAAAGUACCUUGCACAAAGAUGUAUAAACUGAUUGUCCCGUGUCUCUGUGGUUCGAUCCUACUUGCUUUGUACUACCUUUUAAUGCAAUAUAGUAGUGUUCUUAAGGAGUAUAUCGUACCCCUUUAUUUGUUGGGUUUGACACACCUAACAGUCCGAGUUAAUUUUUAAAAAUAGGGACUGAACGUGUCUUUUGACACCUGCACGAAGGACGAUUCGUGUAAUUUACUCUAACACAAAAAACAAGAAAUAGCAUUCUAAUUUAAUAUCGGUUCAUUUUAGAAUCUUACUAUCACUUCAUAUAUUAAAUAGAUAAAACCAACAUACUGAAGAUUAAACUUGAAAGAUUAUGUAUGAACAUCAAAAAACGAAAUCAAAAAUAAAACAAAACAUGAAUAAAUUCUUGGAUAUAAAAACUUUCCUCCAUGCUACCUAGACUACUAGCUUUUGAAAGUUUUACAGUCAAUCCUGCAAAGGAGGUCUGCAACUAAAAAAAUAAAAUAAGAAAAAAUGGAUCAAAAAUUGAGAAUAAUAAUUAUAAAUCAUCUUUUUACCCAUUUCAUAGGCAGAGUUGGUUCUAGAUAUUGAAAUUAGUUCGGGAACAAUAUAAGACUGUAGGCGAGUUGUUUUUCUAGUUCCAGUUUUUCCAUGUUUUAUAUGUCUUGGAACCAUCACGAACGUAUUUUAUAUAAAAGGUAUUUACAAAAAAAAAAGGUUUAGUUUUUGCUAACAGUGAGUUGAAAGAGUUCAUGAAGGUAAAAAUUAACCAAGAAAAGAUGAUAUACAUCAAUGUAACUAACUAUUAACUGUAAAGUGGAUCCAAAACCUCAUUAUAAUGUCAUCAAUAUUAACUGUGAGUGGUUCGAAAAUUAAGAUGUUAUUAUCAAUUUUGAACGAAUAAUUAUAAAACAACAUAAAAUUUAUUAUUUAUAUUGUACUAACCAAUAAGAAGAAAAGUAAUGCAUAUAAAAAAACAAAAAAUGAAAACCAAACACUUCAACUGACAGCUAUUGUUUUGUUUAGUAUAUUUUUACAAACACUUUAUUUGUUUCAAACAGUAGAAAAGAUGUCACGUUGCAUUCACAUGAAACCGUUGACUGUAAAUCCUCCAUCAACAGCAAUUGUUUGACCAGUAAUGUAAGAAGCAGCAGGCAAACAAAGGAAGGCCACAAGAGAUGAAACCUCAUUUGCUUCUCCAAGGCGUUUCAAAGGAGUUCUAGAUGCCACACUAUCCAAAAACUCCUUGUUAUCAAGUACCUAUAUACAAAUAAAGACAUAACAGAUCAUGGUGUACUGUGUUUGGUAUGCAUUGGACUUAAACCAACUGAUACAGACCGAUGCCACCUUAAAAGAUAGGACAAAGUGGGACAGAGAAUCACUAUCAAUCUGUCAGAUAAUCUGUGCAAAAAGACGAAAAUGCCCUCUUCAUCCCCAUUAUAAAAUAAAGGCACUAGAAAAGUUGUCGACAAAAGAAAGGCAAGAUGAAGGAAGAUUACCUCUUCAAUAAGAGAGGUCUUAGUGAACCAUGGUGCUACACAAUUACUCCGAAUGUUGUCUUUCGCCCAUUCACAUGCUAAAUUCUUUGUAAGUUGAUUCAUAGCAGCUGCGAAUGUAAAACACACAGGUUAAAACCAGACACAGGUUAAAACCAGAAGGGCAUUCAUGUCUUUUGCACAAACGAGAGAAAGAGAAUGAGUGCCUGUUCCACGUUGUUCCUUUUUUUUAUGGGUGCAUGUUAACAAAGGGGCAUAAAUGUAAAUUAUGCAACCAUUCUCAUACCUUUAAUGGCACUGUAAACAGACCCAACACCAACAUGAACCAGACCUGCAACAGAGGAAAUAAACACAAUGCUUCCAGCUCCAGAAGCUUUUAAAAGAGGAUGUGCAAGUUGACUCAUAUGGUAAGAAGACUCCAAAUUAGUAGACAUGAGCAUUGAAUACAGUUCUGGAGUAUACUCUGUAGUAGGUUUUCUAAUGUUUGUCCCCACAUUGUUUAUCUACAAGCAAGAAAUCUAUGCAAGUAAGUUUUAUGAAGAGUGCAAAAUUAAGUUCGUAUCAUCAUUUCAAGAAUGAAAUACUAAUCCAACAGCAAUAUUAAGCAAUUAACGAUUCAUUGUGAUAAUGUUUGCGCAAAAGUGUGUUGCACAUGUCUAAAACCUAACAGGUUGAAUGUGACUCCGAAAUUAGUACCUUAAACCUCACAUAAUCGUCAAAUUAUCAAUUCCCGCUCACAAAAAAUUGAGCUAUUAGCAUCAAUUUCAACUGGUGAAGCAAUUAUGUUUGAAUUUGUAAACAUGAUCUAGAGUAAAAAGUUAAGUUUCGUGGGAACACAAGUAGAAGAGCUUACUAAGAUGUUGAGCUUGCCACCGAAAAGCGACGAGACUUGUUCGACAAGCUGUUCUCGUUGAGGACGAGAAGAUAAGUCGCAGACGCAUCCUGUGACGUUGAAGCACUUGGCUGACCAUUCUUGUAACCGUUGGUUAAGUUCAGCUUCGUUGCGAGAGCAGGUGUGCACCGCCGCCCCUAACUCCGCCAGUUCCUCGACUACCGCGUAGCCGAUUCCACGUGUACCACCGGUGACGAGAGCAGUU